UACAGAGGGUGCGAGCGUUGUUCGGAAUUAUUGGGCGUAAAGGGCGCGUAGGCGGCCACCGCAAGUCGGUUGUGAAAUCUCUGGGCUUAACCCAGAAAGGUCAACCGAUACUGCGGGGCUAGAGUGCAGAAGGGGCAAUCGGAAUUCUUGGUGUAGCGGUGAAAUGCGUAGAUAUCAAGAGGAACACCUGAGGUGAAGACGGGUUGCUGGGCUGACACUGACGCUGAGGCGCGAAAGCGUGGGGAGCAAACAGG
rnacentral:rRNA from 1 species